rnacentral:lncRNA from 1 species
CAAGCUUCUUGCCCGACCUCAACGCCAACGCCGCAGCCUGGAUAUCCCCCCCUAGUGGACGAACCCCUCCCCCGGGGAAAGUGGGGUGUGCACCCAGACGCUUCUGGGUGCGGGAUGCUGGGCGCCAGGGGCUGUGAGUUAGGCAGGAGCUGCAGGGAGGCAGUCAAGUCUGGAGUCAUCAGUGGAGGUCACCUGUGCUUGGGCGGAGGAAGAGGAAUACACAAGACUCCUGGGGGAGGGACAGGGACAACUUCCGGUGCCCAGGUUGGAGAAGAGAAGCCACCUCCCCGUGAUUAGAGGGAGGCAGCAGUCAGAUGAGGUCAGGCUGAGGUGAGGGUCUUGGGGAAACAAGAGACUUAAGCUGUGGGGAUGGACAGGAAGGGGUCAGAGGUCAAGACGUGGGGGCAGGGAUGAAGAGGUCCUUAGCAAUGCAAAGCCCAGUACCUCCCAUGUGCUGGAAGUUAAUAUACUCUAUGAUCUUGCCCCCCCCCCCUUUAUGGUGCUGAGGAUUGAACCCAGGGCCUUGCAACUAUAAGUACUCUACCCCCGAGCUACAACCCCGUCCUUUAAAUUUUUUGAUUUUUAUUUUUUGAGACAGCUUCUCACUAUGUAGUUCAAGCUGGCCUUGAACUCACUAUGUAGCAUAGGUGGGCUUUGAACUCGUGGCAGUCUUCCUACUUCAGCCUCCCAAAUUCUGGAAUUACAGACAUGUGCCACCAUAUCCAGCUUUAAAAAAAUUUUUUGGGGGGCUGAGGAUUUACCUCAGUGGUUCUGGUGCCUGCCUUGCAAGUGAAAGGUCCUGAGUUUGAUCCCCCCAGUACCAAAAAAAAAAAUUUUUUUUUGAGACAAGGUCUCACUAAGUUGCCCAGGCUGACCUCAGACUUAAUCCUCCUGCCUUAGCCUUCCAUGUAGCUAGGAUUACAGUUGUGUGUCACCAUGGCCUGAAGCAAUGAGGCCACAGCCCCAGGCCCUGGAGAUCUGGUGGUGAGCAAAGGGAGAACCUUCCAUCACAGCUUCACAAUCUAGAGCACAGAUUGGUAAUAGGGCUCUAAGCUUCCAGCCAGCUGUUUUUGUAAAUAAAACUUUAUUGGGACACAAAUCAUGUUAAGCUACAACACAGCAGAGUAAUUGUGACUGAGGCCAUAUGGUUCCUAUAGCCAAAAAGUGUUUACUAUUUAGUGCUGUACAGGAAAAGUCAGCCAAGCUCUAAUUGGAGGAAGAAGGGGGAAACAAACAAAAAGGAGCAACAAGGCAAGUCCUGAGGUGCUGAAGUGGUCUCUUAAAGAAACAGCCACUGUGGCUGGGGCUGAGCAAGCCAGGGAAGAGGGGUACCGAGGGAGUGGGGAACAAGACCAUGGCCAUGAAGAUGCUGGGAUUGAUCACAAAUGUGAUGGGAAGCUUAUCUGAGCAAAUGUCCACAGACUUCUCCCUUUAGAAACAAACACACCCUGAAGAAGCCUAAGGAGAAGCUGUAGGGGAACCUGGGGGCCCCCCAGGAUGCCUGGCCAAGCCCCCAUGUCCCACACAGUCCAGGGAGGAGAAGGCUUCGGCUCCCGUCCAGAGUCUGUGCCCCCCUUUCCAUGACCCUCACAGUCCUCCAUUGUCAUCUCCUCCCCCCCAGCUCUUCCCCUGCUUGUUCCCACUCCCUGUGGCCCUGAUGUCCCACCCCUAGGUCUGAGGGGC